rnacentral:lncRNA from 1 species
GAAACUAUUGGUUCGACAUCACGACUAUCUAAGAUUCAUAACAUGAAAACAAACAAAUAAUAGUAAUUUUUGAUUAUCACAGAAAAAAAAAACAAAAACAUCAAACAUUUUAACCGAACAAACCAAAUAAAUAUUGAUUAAAAUGAUAGUUAUAUUUUAUGAGAUUAAAAACCAAAAAACAACCUAAAACCAAACCGAUAUCCAGAUUAAACAGAUUAAUGUCUCCUUAUUAAAAAAAUAACGAAACUAAUAAUCAUAUUCCGUGCAAGGCGCAGGUUAUUACCUAGUUUAUUAGUAUUUACCACUGAGCUGAGUACAAGUUCUCUCUUAGUUAUUUGAGUAAUGUAUCCUUAUAUUAUAAUUGAGCUUCGACAUCCGAAUUAGCCGUAUAGGACGUCUCCAAAGCGCAAG